rnacentral:misc_RNA from 1 species
AACGCACAUUGCGCCCGCCAGUAUUCUGGCGGGCAUGCCUGUUCGAGCGUCAUUUCAACCCUCAAGCCCGGCUUGGUGUUGGGGCAUUGCGGCUUGCCGCAAGCCCUGAAAAGCAGUGGCGGGCUCGCUAUAACUCCGAGCGUAGUAGUUUUAUCUCGCUAUGGAAGAGUGGCGGGUCCCGGCCGUAAAAACCUCACUUUUCUCAAGGUUGACCUCGGAUCAGGUAGGAAUACCCGCUGAACUUAA